GUCUGCAGCCACACCACCCUAAACUUGCCCGAUCUUGUCUGAUCUUGAAAGCUAAGAAGGGUUGGACCUGAUCAGUACUUGGGUGGGAAACUGCCUGGUACUACUGAGUGUUAUAAGCA
ensembl:rRNA 5S_rRNA 5S ribosomal RNA